GUGAGUGAUUUUGCAGAUAUAAUUAAAGCCCCCAGUCAGUUUACCUGAUGAUAUGGAGAUCACCUGAGUGGGCCUGACCCAAUCAUGUGAGCUUUUUAAAAGCUUAUAUGGUGUUCUCUGGCUGAUCACAGUAGAAGUCAGAGAGUUUCAAGGCAGAUUCAGGGCUCAAUGAACCGUUGCUUCCUUUGAAGAUGGAGGAAACCUCAUGAAAAGCAAUGUGGACAGCCUCCUAGAGGAGAGAGGGGCCCCCAAAUGGCAGCCAGCAAAGAAAUGGGGACGUUAGAACCUCCUACCUACAGUUAUGAGUAACAGGAUUUUGCCAAUGAUUUGCAUGAGCUCGGAAGUGGAUUACCCUCCAGAGCCUGCAGAUAAGAGCCCCAUUAUGGGCUACUUGAGUUUGGUCUUGUGAGAUGGAGCAGAGAACUCAGCUAACCCAUACCCAGACUUAUGAGGGGCAUCUGGUUAAUAUACUGUGGCAGAGGCAUUUAGUGCUCACCAAAUAAUUCAUGUGCUUCCUUACAUUUCCCAAUCUCCCUUGCAGUUAUAUUUGGGACAUGUGAAUAGUUUUCUUUAAAAGAUUAUGAAGAGAACUGACCUGUGUCUUCCACCUCUACUUUCCUUGCCCAGAGACCACAUGUUCCAGAUGAAGUAAAUACCAGAUGUCGGAAGGCCAUCCAACCUACAUCAGAUUUGAGUGAAUGAGAUAAAAACCUUUUAUGGUGUUAAGCUGUGAAAUGUCAGUGAUUAUCUGUUGUGGCAACUAAGUUGAUUACCCUUUUCAAUACAGAACCUCUACUUAAAAAUGUUUCCUUUUGGGGCCGGCCCAGUGGCACAGCGGUUGAGUUUAAACAUUCCGCUUCGGCGGCCUGGGGUUGGCCAGUUCAGAUCCCGGGUGCAGACAUGGCACCCCUUGGCAAGCCAUGCUGUGGCAGGCAUCCCACAUAUAAAGUAGAGGAAGAUGGGCACAGAUGUCAGCUUGGGGCCAGUCUUUCUCAGCAAAAAGAGGAGGAUUGGCAGCUGAUGUUAGCUCAGUGCUGAUCUUCAAAAAAAAAAAAAAAAAAAAAAGAAGAAGAAAAGAAUUUUCUUUCUCAUGAUUGAGAUGAUGUCAGUUAAACUCAAGGUUUGCCAGGUUGGAUAUACUAGCUUAACUCUGUUAGUAUACACUUUUUUUCUUCUUCGAUAUUUUAGAGUAUGUGUGGUAGUCUCCAAAUAUGGAUGGCUUCCAUCAAUUUCACAUACAUAGCACUCCGCACUUCGAAAGUUGGAGUCUGUUUUCCCUCGAAUUGAGUGUGGGCUGGCCUUAUGACUUACUACCAGUGCAGUGCAGGUGAUGAUGUGCUUGUUCCAAGCCUAGCACUUUACUGAAUAGGUAGCUGAUUUUCUAGUCAAAAGUCAGUCACUGUGUAAGAAGAUCUACUAUCUCAAGCCCACAAGCUUACAGGAAGUCCAUGCUGAGCACAUGGAGACAUGCUUAACCAUUUCCCAAGUGUCCCAAUCAUCUAAACUGAGUCACACAAUACAUGAGUUAAAAAGCCAUCUUUGACACCCCAGACCCAGCAAACAACACGUGGAACAGAAAUAUAGCCCAACUAAUUCUGCCCAGAUUGAAGAAUUAUGAGAAAUUAUAAAUUGUGGCUACCUUAUGCCAGAAAGCUUGGAGUAGUUUGUUAAUCAAAAAUAGAUAACCAAAACGACGUAUAAAUUCUGAUUAUCAGAUUUGUGAGAGACGAAGCUAUGGGAAAUUGAGAUGAAAAGAUUUGAGCAAAUAUUCUAUCUCAGUGGAAUUUGAAUUCUUUGAAAAGUCUAUGUCUACAAAUUGUCAAAAUUAUCAGUCAUUUCUUACAUCUAGUCAAACAAAACAAUUUGAUAUGAACACAGAAUAAUUGAUUAUUAAUGUGUCAUGAAGACAGACAACUUGUGGAAUAAUUAGACUAUAUUUUAAAGAUGGAUAUCCAUUGUAGAAAGAGACAAGAGAAAGGCAUGCAGCAAAAGUCAUCCUUUUUGUUAUAUUAAGGCUUUGGAGAAGAGAAAAUGUCUAUUAUAUUGAUAGACAGGAAAGAUACGGUUUUCUCCAAAGGAAAAUCUAAUCCUUGUUGAAAAUAGAAUCUUUAAGACUGAAGAUUUUACAACAAAGCAUUUUUGUUUUCUUUACGUUUUUCUUCCUAGUGACUGUUUUUUUUUGGGGGGGGGAGAGUUGGUCAGCUUUUACAUAAAAUUAAAUUCAUGUAUUUCAAGUUUACAAUACCAUAUUUCCAUCACCCAAAGCAUUUUCUUAUGUUCUUUUGCAAUCAAUCCCAUUUCCUACCCUUAGCCCCUGGUAACCAUGAUCUACUAUUUAUUACUAUUCUUUGCCUUUUAUAGAAUUUCAAAUAAAUGGAAUCAGACAAUAAGUAGUCUUUGUGGUUUGAUACACAUAUAUAUUGUGAAAUGUUUUCCACUAUAAGAUUAGUUAACACAUACUUCACCUCACAUAAUUGCUGUUUUCUUAUUGUGGUGAUAGUGAUGGUGAUAACAU
rnacentral:lncRNA from 1 species